rnacentral:snoRNA from 1 species
CAUAUGAUGGUUUCAUUUCACUGCACUGACGCCAGUUGAUGACACUCUUCCCUCUGAUUUAGC